rnacentral:rRNA from 1 species
CUGCGGAGAUCAUUGUAGAGUUCCUUUUCGAACAGUUGUGAAGCUGUACUCGUACCCAUCUCGAACAGUUGUUUAGAUGGGUUCCCCUUGCUGCCUUCAACUUGCUUCAUUUGAUGUAAGAAGGAGAGUAGAAAUAUAGAUCGGCACGGUUCGUGCCAAGGAAAGUUUUUGUUGGAGUGCCUGCCAUCUUUUUGAUGUGUUGGGUUAUUCUACAAGCGUGAGCAUAUGAAUGACUCCUGGCAAUGGAUAUCUUGGCUCUCGUGUCGAUGAAGAACGUAGCGAAAUGCGACACUUGGUGUGAAUUGCAGAAUCCCGUGAACCAUCGAGUCUUUGAAUGCAAGUUGCGCUCGAGGCCAUUAGGUCGAGGGCACGUCUGCUUGGGUGUCAUGCCUUACGUCAUUCCAACUACGCGCCUGCCAUAAACAUGGCGACGGUGGAUGUGGAGAUUGACCCUCCGUGCGUUUAUUGUGCGGUUGGUUUAAGUGACUGUUAUCGUCAGGUCUACGCGCGGCGAAUGGUGUAUCGAGUUAACACACGAUGUCUCUAACCGCGUCUAGCAUUCCUGGUUAUAACGUACCUUUAAUUGAAACCAUUGUCGAUGUUUGCGUAAGUCGCAAAGCUCGGACCAUGACCUCAGAUCAGACGGGGCCACCCGCUGAGUUUAAGCAUA